GAGAUGAAUAUGCAUGAUGAAAUUCUCGGUUGCCUCCCGUUGAUGCCUAUUUCGUCGGCUUGACGAAAUCGGCGAUCGGCGGGGCCUUCAAAACGAACUGGCGGUCUGACGUGAUGUAAUUGUCGGCAUGAAGCCGGGCGAU
rnacentral:sRNA from 1 species